AGUGGGGAAUAUUGGACAAUGGGCGAAAGCCUGAUCCAGCCAUGCCGCGUGUGUGAAGAAGGUCUUCGGAUUGUAAAGCACUUUAAGUUGGGAGGAAGGGUUGUAGAUUAAUACUCUGCAAUUUUGACGUUACCGACAGAAUAAGCACCGGCUAACUCUGUGCCAGCAGCCGCGGUAAUACAGAGGGUGCAAGCGUUAAUCGGAAUUACUGGGCGUAAAGCGCGCGUAGGUGGUUAGUUAAGUUGGAUGUGAAAUCCCCGGGCUCAACCUGGGAACUGCAUUCAAAACUGACUGACUAGAGUAUGGUAGAGGGUGGUGGAAUUUCCUGUGUAGCGGUGAAAUGCGUAGAUAUAGGAAGGAACACCAGUGGCGAAGGCGACCACCUGGACUGAUACUGACACUGAGGUGCGAAAGCGUGGGGAGCAAA
rnacentral:rRNA from 1 species